GGCUGCAGAGAGACCGGGGCGCCUCCGGAGGGAAGUGGGGACCCCCGAAAGGCUGAGAAAGGCCGGAGCCCCCCGCGAAUCUUUUCGGUGUGAAGCGAGAAACCCAACCGCAGCGCGGGCCGAGGCCGGGUAGACAACACCUACACCCGGCGCCCGCAGGAGGCGCGGAAUUUGGCUGCUUCAAAGCAGCCCCAGGAGUCGGGGGAACCCCACACCCAAAGAGGAGGAAAAAGUCAUAAUGCAUACUUCUGGGGAUUUUUCCAUAUUGAUGGAAGAAAAUGUUUGGAAUACCUAAGUGAAUCCAUUGAAGGAGUGCAGACAUGAUGGCCUACAAAGGGCUGGUACUCCAGCACCAUCUUGUAAGUAUGACGAUAAAGGACAGUGCUGUCAGAGCAGAGAGCUGGAAGGAGCCUGGGUUC